rnacentral:rRNA from 1 species
CACCGGCGGCUCGAGUGGUGGCCACUUUUAUUGGGUCUAAAGCGUCCGUAGCCGGCUUGGCAAGUCCCCUGGGAAAUCUGGCGGCUUAACCGUCAGGCGUCCAGAGGAUACUGCCAGGCUUGGGACCGGGAGAGGUGAGAGGUACCUCAGGGGUAGGGGUGAAAUCUUGUGAUCCCUGAGGGACCACCAGUAGCGAAGGCGGCUAUCUGGCUGGUAACUGACGCUGAGGUGCGAGAGCGUGGGGAGCAAACAGG